UACGUAGGGCGCAAGCGUUGUCCGGAAUUAUUGGGCGUAAAGAGCUCGUAGGCGGUCUGUCGCGUCCGUUGUGAAAACUCGAGGCUCAACCUCGGGCUUGCAGUGGAUACGGGCAGACUAGAGUGCGGUAGGGGAGACUGGAAUUCCUGGUGUAGCGGUGGAAUGCGCAGAUAUCAGGAGGAACACCGAUGGCGAAGGCGGCAUCCUGGACCAAUAUUGACGCUGAGGAGCGAAAGCCAGGGGAGCAAACGGG
rnacentral:rRNA from 1 species